UACCAGAAGAAUCGGAUCACACCUGGGC
rnacentral:piRNA from 1 species